ensembl:lncRNA
AAUUGCUGUUCCUCUUUCUCUAGGCUUGCAGAACAUCAUUUYUGCUGUAAAUAGCUUUUAGCGUGAAAGAAGAGCGCGUACCAGAUUGGUGUGCGGGAACCGCUCGGUCUAAAAUAGCUGGAAGAUGAACACGGUGCACGACAYGCGGACCGAGGCGCGGGAGCGGCCGAACCGGCGGACGGUGGACCAGCUGAGCCCGGAGCUCCGAGUGGAGAAGUACAUCCUGCUGAGCAUGGACGGGAAGCUGCUGGGACCGGAGCUGAGCCGGAUCCGGAGUGAGAUGGCCCUGCCCCUGGAGCGCCUGGACGCUGACCUGCCCCAGGACCUGCCCUCRGGCUACCUCUGGCGCCAGCGCCGCUCCUUGCCGACCUUCCCCCUCGCCCCUGGGAGCGGCGCCCAGAGCCCCGCGGACCUCAGGAGGAGCACGGACUUGCUCUGUGCCGGCCAGUUCCCCGCGGGGCUCAGCGACCUGGUGACAGGGAUGCAGGCCCCUGCCUCGCCGUGCUCGAGGAGCCGGGGUAGCCCACGGGCUCGGCCCCGCUCCGCCCUGGCAGCACAGGCCUCCCGCGGCCGUCCCACCACGGCGGCGGCAGCGGAGGAGGCUGCGGGCCGGGGCUGCCAGGAGCGGGAGGGCGGCAGGGAGUGAGGGGGGAGCCGGGCCCCUUGGCAAGGAGGCACCRUGGCGGGGCUGUAACGG